UAAAGGUGACUAUGUUUACUACACCAAAUCAUUAUUGAAAGAAUCAUUUAUCCUUAUUUCAUACCUUUUUAAAAAAAACUCAAAUAUAUGUGUUAAACACUAAAACAAUAGAAUAUGCGGAAUUUUUAUGAAUAAUUUUAUUGUCGUAAAUUGUAAUUUGUUGAUAUUUGAGUUGUUUUAAAUAUGAAAAUCUAAAAUAAAAUAUAUUGAUAUUAAAAUAUGUUGUUUAAAAAAAAUUACAAUGAAAAAAAGAAAUAAAA
rnacentral:lncRNA from 1 species